GAAUUUAAUAUAAUUAUUUAUAAGAAUAUUUUUAUAGUUGAAAUAAAUGAUUAUUAUUUGAUUGGGAGGAUAAAUAAAUUUAAUUAACUUUAAUAAUGAGUUAAGUUAUAGAUUAAUAAGUAAAAUUUUUUUGAAUGAUUUUAAAAUUAAAUUAGAAUUAAUUACCUUAGGGAUAACAGCGUAAUAUUUUUAUAAAGAUCUUAUUAAUAAAAAUGUUUGC
rnacentral:rRNA from 2 species